rnacentral:rRNA from 1 species
UAGGGAAUCUUCCGCAAUGGACGCAAGUCUGACGGAGCAACGCUGCGUGAGUGAAGAAGGAUUUCGGUUCGUAAAACUCUGUUGUUAGAGAAGAACAGCGCAUAGAGUAACUGUUAUGCGUGUGACGGUAUCUAACCAGAAAGCCACGGCUAACUACGUGCCAGCAGCCGCGGUAAUACGUAGGUGGCAAGCGUUGUCCGGAUUUAUUGGGCGUAAAGCGAGCGCAGGCGGUCAAUUAAGUCUGAUGUGAAAGCCCCCGGCUCAACCGGGGAGGGUCAUUGGAAACUGGUUUACUUGAGUGCAGAAGAGGGGAGUGGAAUUCCAUGUGUAGCGGUGAAAUGCGUAGAUAUAUGGAGGAACACCAGUGGCGAAGGCGACUCUCUGGUCUGUAACUGACGCUGAGGCUCGAAAGCGUGGGUAGCAAACAGG